AUUGAACGCUGGCGGCAGGCCUAACACAUGCAAGUCGAACGAGUGGCGGACGGGUGAGUAAUGUAUGGGGAACUGCCCGAUAGAGGGGGAUAACUACUGGAAACGGUGGCUAAUACCGCAUACCAUCGGAUGUACCCAUAUGGGAUUAGCUAGUAGGUGGGGUAAAGGCUCACCUAGGCGACGAUCUCUAGCUGGUCUGAGAGGAUGAACAGCCACACUGGGACUGAGACACGGCCCAGACUCCUACGGGAGGUAGCAGUGGGGAAUAUUGCACAAUGGGCGCAAGCCUGAUGCAGCCAUGCCGCGUGUAUGAAGAAGGCCUUAGGGUUGUAAAGUACUUUCAGCGAGGAGGCGUUACCCGCAGAAGAAGCACCGGCUAACUCCGUGCCAGCAGCCGCGGUAAUUC
rnacentral:rRNA from 1 species